CUUCUCUCCUCAUAGAUUAUUGUAAGCUCUUGUGAUCAGGAUCCUCACUCCUCUUGUCUCCUCAUGCAUGUCAUGUCAUGCAGUCAUGUGAUCAGAUAAAAUCCAACAUCCUCAUUCUGGAAAUAAAAGAGACACCUGAGUGGAUGGAUCCGUGAACAGUGAUCCGCAACGUUCAUUCAAGUCAUCCAAGUAACCUGGAUCCAUGGAUUCGAUGUUGCCUGUUUUGUUAUGUUGCCAUGGCGAUCAAUGACAUCAUAAUUGGGAGGAGCCUCUGACACCUUUACAUAGUAUCACUAAUCAGACCAGCACAUGCAGUUGGGAAAGGCUUCAGUGCCGGAACGCGUGCUGCGUCCUUUACAUGCUGUAAUUCAUUUGAGAAGUAAAAAGCAUCUUCAUUGAAACAAACGAGUGUCGGGAUUUUCUUCUUUACUAUUAUAUUCAUAUGUAGACUCCGACUAAGACCACUGAGUACCCAAAACCCGUCAGUCUGUUUCCUGUCUCUUCAUGCUGCCCGUGUGGAGUUUAUUUUCUUCUAAAUAAAGGAUUGAA